GUUGAUAAUAGGUUAUUAACAGGUUACCUCUAUGUACCGUUGGUUAGGGUUAGAGUCAGUAAUAGGUUGAUAAUAGGUUAUUAACAGGUUACCUCUAUGUACCGUUGGUUAGGGUUAGGGUCAGUAAUAGGUUGAUAAUAGGUUAUUAACAGGUUACCUCUAUGUACCGUUGGUUAGGGUUAUAGUCAGUAAUAGGUUGAUAAUAGGUUAUUAACAGGUUACCUAUAUGUAUCGUUGGUUAGGGUUAGGGUCAGUAAUAGGUUGAUAAUAGGUUAUUAACAGGUUAUGUCUAUGUACCGUUGGUUAGGGUUAGGGUCAGUAAUAGGUUGAUAAUAGGUUAUUAACAGGUUACCUCUAUGUACCGUUGGUUAGGGUUAGGGUUAGUAAUAGGUUGAUAAUAGGUUAUUAACAGGUUACCUCUAUGUACCGUUGGUUAGGGUUAGUAAUAUGUUGAUAAUAGGUUAUUAACAGGUUACCUCUAUGUACCGUUGGUUAGGGUUAGGGUUAGUAAUAGGUUAUUAACAGGUCACCUCUAUGUACCGUUGGUUAGGGUUAGUAAUAGGUGGAUAAUAGGUUAUUAACAGGUUACCUCUAUGUAUCGUUGGUUAGGGUUAGGGUUAGUAAUAGGUUAUUAACAGGUCACCUCUAUGUAUCGUUGGUUAGGGUUAGGGUUAGUAAUAGGUUGAUAAAUGGUUAUUAACAGGUUACCUCUAUGUAUCGUUGGUUAGGGUUAGGGUCAGUAAUAGGUUAUUAACAGGUUACCUCUAUGUACCGUUGGUUAGGGUUAGUAAUAGGUUGAUAAUAGGUUAUUAACAGACGACCUCUAUGUAUCUGUUGCCCAUGUGGU
rnacentral:lncRNA from 1 species